rnacentral:rRNA from 1 species
AGAGAGAGACAUGCGCGCAUAUCAAUAAGCGGAGGAAAAGAAACUAACAAGGAUUCCCCUAGUAACGGCGAGUGAAGCGGGAAGAGCUCUAAUUUGAAAUCUUAAAGGGUUUCCCUUUACGAAUUGUAGUUAAAGAAGUGUUUUCUGUUGAGGUUUUGGUAAAAGUUCUUUGGAAUAGGACAGUCAUAGAGGGUGAGAAUCCCGUAUUUGACCUUUACUUUCAACUUUGUGAUACACUUUCAAAGAGUCGGAUUGUUUGGGAAUGCAGUCCAAAAUGGGUGGUAAAUUUCAGUCUAAAGCUAAAUAUUGGCGAGAGACCGAUAGCGAACAAGUACCGUGAGGGAAAGAUGAAAAGAACUUUGAAAAGAGAGUUAAACAGUACGUGAAAUUGUCAAAAGGGAAGCGUUUGACACCAGUGUUGUUUUUCUGAAAAUCAAUUAAAGAACUGUUUAUGCUAAGCUGUUUAGACUUUAUCAGCUAUCUGUUUAGUUUUGAGCUUUUCUUCAAUGCACUUUUCAGUUAACAAGUCAACAUCAAUUUCUUUUGCUGUAAAAAGCUUGAGGAAGGUGGCUUGAGAUUCGUCUUAAGUGUUUAUAGCCUCUUGCCUAUGCAGUCGGAGAGAUUGAGGUCUGCAGCGUAGAUCCUUCGGGGCUAAAUGCAUUUGUGCUAAGUUAUAGCAUUUUAUAGACAACUUGUUGACUAUGAUUUGUCUUGUAGCUUACUCGCUUAUGUUAUUUUACCUACGCUUAGGAUGUUGACGCAUGAGAUAUACGC